CUUUUUUUGUUGUUUGAGUAUUGUCUACAGAAGAGUAAUUGGUCAUGUUGUAUAUUCAUUUUAAGUUGUUCAUUUAACUUAUAAUUUUAAUGAAGACAUUGAUAUUUUGCUUCUCCUGGAUGAAUAUUUUCGUUUUACAUUCAAUCUCAACCAGUGUUGAAUGAAAAUUUUGCACAUAUAAUACCCAAAACAUAAGAGAAGAAUCCAAUGUUUCAGAAAAAUUUAAAAAAAUAAAAAAUAAUUGUCCCAGUUGUCUGAUUUAAUUUUGUGAGAACUUUUUAGAGUUGGUUUGAAUAACAAAAACUAUAAUAACUUACACUUUAUUCUAUCCAAUAGAAACAUUAUAAUUAUUCAACCAAAAGCAGAUUAUAUUAUUAAACAUAAUAGAAUAGAUAUCAUACAUUAUGUUGUCAAACCGAUAGAAUAGAAGCCAAGCUCUUUGGCUUAUUAUCACAAACACACCAUCACAAAAACAUACUUUUAUCUUUGUAUAUGCUUUCUCUUGGAAAAUGGCAAUAUACAAACAUUGUGUGCAGGAUUCGCCACUCAAUUUCUUUUGUUGCUGCUCUCCAACUGUUAUCUUGCAUCCAGUACCAUCAAGGUUGUAUGCUUGAGGUUGAUUAUUUCUCUGUCCAUCCCAACAAUGGAAGCACUUCAUUUGUGGGCAAAGUUGCAGAAUGGUAUCAGCCAUACACCUUAUGUUUUUCUCCGACAGGAAUUCUCUGGAGUAUCUAAACAGGCUAUCUCAACAGGUUGAAUCCACAGUUAUGGAGAAGUGCUUUCGAUCCAUCACUGAUCCAAGAAGUGGCAUUAACUUGAUUCAUAAUGUUGUAUAUAAAUGUGGGUUAGCUUUUGCUAAGCUUUUCCUUUUAGAAAACAUGUUAACCAAUGUGUUAGUAGGAAGUGCUCACUUUAUGGAAUAGUUCUUUUGGAUAUUUAAUAAGCUUUUAUAAAUCAUACUGUUUUUUUUUUGUAGAUCU